AAUAAAUCGAUGAAUGAGUUAAGUAAUCAGACAAAUCGUUGUUUCAGAGAGCGGAAGAAUGGUGGGACUUCCGUACAAGGAUGUGUGAUGAAUGGUCUCAUGAGAGCAGGACUGAAAGGUAAGUAGGUCGUGACGGAAGCCCCCGUUAUCUCAGGCUACGAUGUCUCGUCAAGACGCAUCGGAAAGAGUGGGAACGUACUUCGUUCCAAUUGUGAGGUGGCACCGCGAGUCUAUCGUCCUCCAU
rnacentral:ncRNA from 1 species